CGCGGGGUGGAGCAGCUUGGUAGUUCGUCGGGCUCAUAACCCGAAGGUCGUCGGUUCAAAUCCGGCCCCCGCAACCA
rnacentral:tRNA from 2 species